GAUGAACGCUGGCGGCGUGCCUAAUACAUGCAAGUCGAGCGAACAGAUGAGGAGCUUGCUCCUCUGACGUUAGCGGCGGACGGGUGAGUAACACGUGGAUAACCUACCUAUAAGACUGGGAUAACUUCGGGAAACCGGAGCUAAUACCGGAUAAUAUAUUGAACCGCAUGGUUCAAUAGUGAAAGACGGUUUUGCUGUCACUUAUAGAUGGAUCCGCGCCGCAUUAGCUAGUUGGUAAGGUAACGGCUUACCAAGGCAACGAUGCGUAGCCGACCUGAGAGGGUGAUCGCCCACACUGGAACUGAGACACGUUCCAGACUCCUACGGGAGGCAGCAGUAGGGAAUCUUCCGCAAUGGGCCAAAGCCUGACGGAGCAACGCCGCGUGAGUGAUGAGGGUCUUCGGAUCGUAAAACUCUGUUAUUAGGGAAGAACAAAUGUGUAAGUAACUAUGCACGUCUUGACGGUACCUAAUCAGAAAGCCACGGCUAACUACGUG
rnacentral:rRNA from 1 species